AUUGAACGCUGGCGGCAUGCCUUACACAUGCAAGUCGAACGGCAGCACGGGAGCAAUCCUGGUGGCGAGUGGCGAACGGGUGAGUAAUAUAUCGGAACGUGCCCAGUCGUGGGGGAUAACGUAGCGAAAGCUACGCUAAUACCGCAUACGAUCUAUGGAUGAAAGCGGGGGAUCGCAAGACCUCGCGCGAUUGGAGCGGCCGAUAUCAGAUUAGGUAGUUGGUGAGGUAAAGGCUCACCAAGCCGACGAUCUGUAGCUGGUCUGAGAGGACGACCAGCCACACUGGGACUGAGACACGGCCCCAGACUCCUACGGGAGGCAGCAGUGGGGGAAUUUUUGGACAAUGGGCGCAAGCCUGAUCAGCAAUGCCGCGUGCAGGAUGAA
rnacentral:rRNA from 1 species